UACGUAGGGCGCAAGCGUUGUCCGGAAUUAUUGGGCGUAAAGAGCUCGUAGGCGGCCUGUUGCGUCCGCUGUGAAAUCCCGGGGCUCAACCCCGGGCCUGCAGUGGGUACGGGCAAACUAGAGUGCGGUAGGGGAGAUUGGAAUUCCUGGUGUAGCGGUGGAAUGCGCAGAUAUCAGGAGGAACACCGAUGGCGAAGGCAGAUCUCUGGGCCGUAACUGACGCUGAGGAGCGAAAGCAUGGGGAGCAAACAGG
rnacentral:rRNA from 1 species